rnacentral:misc_RNA from 1 species
UCAUUGGUUGUGAUGGCAUAUGGGAUGUUUUGUCAAGCCAGGAUGCUGUCAGCUUUGUCCGGCGUGGACUUAGGCGGCAUGAUGACCCGGUGAUGUGGGCCAGAGAACUAGUUAUGGAAGCAUCACGCCUCCAUUCAACUGAUAAUCUAACUGUAGUUAUCAUCUGCUUCUCUUCACCUAUUGUUGUUGAGUCAUGUACCCCUCGGAGGAGGUUCAGGUGCUGCAGUCUUUCUGAGGAAUCUCGAAAUAGAUUGAGAAGCUUGUUGGAAGGCACUUGAACGUGCAGAAAAAUUAUUUUGUAUUUGCAGAAAUUUUUAAUGAUAAAGGAUUUUUGUCUGUUUGUGGCUGUUUCAGAUAGCUAAGAAAAAAAGCAGCCAGCUGUUCUGUAGGGAUAGAAGAGAGGAUACUGGAAUAGCGGUUGCGUCAAGUAAAGA